rnacentral:tRNA from 1 species
GGCCCAUUAGCUCAGUUGGCAGAGCACUUGACUUUUAAUCAAGGUGUCCCGGGUUCGAUUCCCGGAUGGACGACCA